UUUGUGCUCUCAAACAUUCAUCUCUCCUCUUCUCCCUCUCCAUCCAUUCGUUUCCAGGAAAAACUUCCACCGACGAACCACAACCGCACCACCAGACAUGUACAACCCCUCGACCGACCAACAAACUACUACUCUCUGCGACUGCCAUUAAGAGGCCUAAACAAAGGGGUUUACCCGGACUGAAUCAAGACCGGUGAAGGGAACUUCCUGAAAUUCACUAUUAUGCUAGGUUUGAAGUUGACCUUGUUGCAUAUGAUGAUGAUGUUGAGAAUCUAUGCAUAUCAAGUGUUUGAAGAAAUGUUUCUCCUUUUUUUCUUCCAAUUUUAUUCGCCAUUGUGUAAGUAACUUGGUUAGUUGUUUAAGUUAGGGGUGUAAACUAGCUGAACUACUUGCAUGCUACUCGAAAUUGGCUCGAGACGAGUCUGGGACUAAAAAUAAGCUUGUUUAGUAAACAAACUCGGGCUGGCUCAUGAGCCUAAACAAGCACAUUAUUUAUACAAUUUAUAAUUAAUAUAUUAAGUGUGUGUAUAUAUUAUGUGAAUUUCCAACCACUUGACUCGAGCUCGAGCUGGCUCAUGAGCCUAAACAAGCACAUUAGUAAACGAACUCGAGCUGGCUCAUGAGCCUAAACAAGCACAUUAGUAAACGAAUUCAAGCUGGCUCAUGAGCCUAAUUUACAGGCCCGAGCUUGAGCUUGAAAAACUACCCAUGACUCGAGCUCGAGCUUUCAUAUGAGCUCAAGCCUAGUCGAGCACGGGCUUGGCUCGGCUUAUUUGCACCCCUAGUUAUAGUAGAUGCGAACAAGUUUGAUGAUCAUUUUUCUAAUAUGAAAAAAUCCACCAUUUGUCCUUGCAGUUUUCCCUACAUGUUAUCCAAAGACGUUAGCAACAAAUUAUCUGACCCUUACGUAGCAUGAUGCAUUGGUGGUUUAUCACCAUAUCUAACUUUGUCUUCUUUUUUUGAGUUAAUUACUGUUUUCGUCCCUGUGGUUUGUCAAAAAUCACUAUUUCAGUCCAUUAGUUUAAAAAUUGCGAUUUCAGUCCAUGUGGUUUCACUUUCGUA